rnacentral:lncRNA from 1 species
UUUUAGUCGACAUCGGCAGCAGGAAGUCUAUGAUCGCCAUGCCCACGUGGGACUUGAUAGAGACAUGCCUUAGGCUGAUGCGGCGUGCUAUCGUACGGGUGGAUCUUCCUUUGUUGCAUCGCAUCAGGAAAAAGAAUCAAAAGAAAGGCUAGAAAAGAAAUUGAUACCCCCGCCAACAAUGGGUCCUCGUUAUGGUAUUAUUUUAAAAAAGAAGGACAACUAUUUGCCUGGUCUGCAUCAACU